UGAACUCAAUUUUGUAUGCAGUUGGAACGUUUGCCUGCGUUUGCCGCUAGGGGCGCUGUUCUAACUGCAAAGAGAUUUGUGUUA
rnacentral:pre_miRNA from 1 species